rnacentral:rRNA from 1 species
UACGUAGGGGCCUAGCGUUGUCCGGAUUUAUUGGGCGUAAAGAGCUCGUAGGCGGUUUGUCACGUCGGAUGUGAAACCCUGAGGCUCAACCUCAGGCCUGCAUUCGAUACGGGCAGACUAGAAUUCGGCAGGGGAGACUGGAAUUCCUGGUGUAGCGGUGAAAUGCGCAGAUAUCAGGAGGAACACCGGUGGCGAAGGCGGGUCUCUGGGCCGAUAUUGACGCUGAGGAGCGAAAGCGUGGGGAGCAAACAGG